rnacentral:lncRNA from 1 species
UUUCGGUGGGGAGGAGGGAGUGGAGAUGGAGUGCCUACUUUAUUAUUAUUUUUAUCCCUCAGCUUUGCGGGUGGUGGAGAGAAUAUCAAGACCUAGGCUCCCCUGAUCUCCCUGCAUCCCCGUCGUUUUUGGCAAUGUCGCUAAUCGGCCCAGCAGCCUGAAUCCACACGUCCCAGCGUCCAGGUUCUGCAAGGUGCAGCUGGUCUCGGGCCCUGUCUCAGAGGUUUGCGAAUAGAGACUUUAAAUUACUCCUGUACCCUUGGCCCCAAGGAAGGCUCUCCAGACAGAAAGUUGCCUGCAAGUCCUGGUGCUAGAUUUUGAGUAUGACACUGCUCUUCACUACUCUGUCC